AGCGAGUGGCUGGUGAGCUCCGGGUCUGACUCUACGAGGACUGGACAGAAAUGCAGAAGAGAAGCAGGGUCACCGGAGACAGGAAAGUUCCAGGGGCCUCAGGGGCCCGUGGGGGAGGGUUCACCGGGCCAGACGCCCAGAAGGCCGGCCAUCCUGCCCACGAGUCUACAGGCCGCUUCUGGGUUGCUGCUUAUGGUUUUGCUUGAGAAAAGUCUUGGGUGCACGUUAGUUUUGCCAAGACGGCACACGGGCCGCGUGCCCUGUGCCCGCUUUCCCUGGGUCACCGCCUUAUAUGGCUUGCUGUCGCUGCCACAGUCAGGAGCCCAACACUGACGCGUUAUGUUUACCUAACCCAAGGACUUUCAUCUAACGUCUCCUUUGACCUUGUACUGUGUGGGACACCACAUGACUCAGCCGUCACGCCUCCCAGGGCUCCUCCUGCCCGGCAAUUCGGCCCACCUUCCUGGGUUCUGACCCCGACAGCAAAGUGCCCUCUGCUGGCGUGUGCGGGACGUUUCCCUCCUGAGGAGCCUGGGAGCGGGUUUGGGGAGGGUGGUCUCAGAGGUGAAGUGACAUCUUCACAACACGUGUCCAGGGUGCAGGCCGUCACGCGCCCUGUCACUGUUGGCACUGACCUUGGUCCCCUGGCGGGGCCGUCUGUCAGGUCCCUCCCUGUAGCUAUGACGUCACCGUGCACAGCCCGCACCUAAGGACAGAGAGGGCGCUCCCCUCUCGGAGGACAGGGUAUCCACAGAAACUCUUGUCUGCGGGGGAUUUGUCUCUUCUCUCCCGUUUAUUUAAGAAACAACUUUUUAAAGAGGAUCUUGUAUCUUGGUGCGGGUGUCGGUGCCCGCUACGGACAGUGUGGAAUGUCCCUCGUGUCAGGCGCAUGAGGGUGACCCGCCCCCACUGGGUCUCUAUGGGCAUGAUCAGGAGUCCGAGGUCACCUUGUCAGCAGCCCCCUCCCUCCAGGAAGGACAGAGACCGUCUCUGACCAGCACCCGCCCCCGCCCUGCACCGAGACCGCGGCCACUCACCAGGUCGGCGGACACGGCGGUCGUGAUCAGGGCGUAUGGCCCGCUGACCAGGGCCCCGCUGAGCAGCAGCAUGGCUGUGGGAACCAGAAACCAGAAGGAGGGAUUCAGCAGCGGAACGGUGCCCUCUGGGAGAGCCCCCACGGUCUCGGCAGCCCCCGGGUGAGCGCCCUGGUGUCACGCGCGGGUCUGGCCUGAGUGCGAUGUGGGCGGGUGCUGGGAAGGAGGCCCGCACGCCUGGGGUGCGGUGACUGCCGACUGCUGGGGCCAGCGUGGUGAGCUUCUUCCUUUAAACCUGCCCCAGGUACGCCUGCAAGUCCCAAUCACAGGACCUGCUGCUCCGUUUCCUCGACCCUCAACUGGCGGCGACUGUUGAGAGCCUGGAGGGACCAGAAGCCCGGUGUCCCGAGUACGGAUGUGCCGGGGGUGUGUGAAUGCUCCCUGUGGUCAGUGCCGGCUGGCGCUAACCCCAGCCUUGGCCUGCUUUGCAGUGGGAGGGUGUCUGUCUGUCUGUCUCUCUCUGUGCCCGCAGCUGUGGAUGGCUGCCCCCGAGGGACACCCGGAUACCCAGAGCCACCGAGCUCCCACGGGCAGGAAGCUUCUGGACCAGUGGGUCACGGGAAACCCACAGCUCCUCGUGUCAGCAAUCUGACUUUUGGAUGACUUCUAACGGGAUCACACACAGCCUGCCUCCCUCCCGAUCACCACUGCUGGCUGCUUAAGACAGAAAAGAUAUUUACCAGGGCGCCUGGGUGGCUCAGCUGGUUAAGCAUCUGACUCUUGAUUUCGGCUCAGGGCGUGAUCUCACGGUUUUCAAGACCGAGCCCUGAGUCAGGUUCUGUGCUGACAGUGCAGAGCCCUCGUGGGAUCCUCUCCCUCUCUCUCUGCCCCUCCCCUGCUUGUGCACACACACGCUCUCUCUCUCUCAAAAUAAAUUUAAAAACUCAAAAAAAAAAAAAAAAAAAAAAGAGGGGCACCUGGGUGGCUUAGUUGGUGAAACGCCUGGUUCUGCUCAGGUCAUGAUCUCACAGUUCAUGAGUUCGAGCCCCUCAUCCGGCCCUGUGCUGACAGUGCAGAGCCUGCUUGGGAUUCUCUCCCCCUUCUCUCUCUCCCCCUUCUCUCUCUGUCUCUGCUCUCUCUCUCUCCUCUGAAAAUAAAUAAACAUUAAAAAAAAUCCUUCCCAAGUGUCAGAACCAUAUCUGAUGGUACUGCUUGCAGGAAGUAAAGAAUCGUCCUCCAGCGUCCUGCACCCGCUCUCAGGAAGGCAGCUGGCGGAGGGCAGCUGGGAGUCUGGCCCCUGCCGGGCUCUGGCCUGUCCUCACCUGCUGGGGUGCAGGUCUCGGGGUGGAGCCCUGCCUCUGCCUUCCGGGGGGGACACGUGGCUUCUCAGAGUGCCUCCUCGCGGCCCUGGAGCGGGUGGCCCGUGCUCUCCCA